rnacentral:misc_RNA from 1 species
UUUCCGUAGGUGAACCUGCGGAAGGAUCAUUACAGAGUUCAUGCCCUCACGGGUAGAUCUCCCACCCUUGAAUAUUUAUACCUUAGUUGUUUUGGCAGGCCGUGGAAACACCAUGGGCUCCGGCUUAUGCGUGCCUGCCAGAGGAAACAAACUCUGUUUUUAGUGAUGUCUGAGUACUAUAUAAUAGUUAAAACUUUCAACAACGGAUCUCUUGGUUCUG